ACGUAGGACACAAGCGUUAUCCGGAGUUACUGGGCGUAAAGAGCGCGUAGGCGGUUUGUUAAGUCUGCUAUGAAAGCACCUGGCUAAACUGGGUGAGGCUGGCGGAUACUGGCAAGCUAGAGUGAGACAGAGGCAGAUGGAAUUCCGCGUGUAGUGGUGAAAUGCGUAGAGAUGCGGAGGAACACCAGUGGCGAAGGCGGUCUGCUGGGUCUCAACUGACGCUGAGGCGCGAAAGCGUGGGUAGCGAACGGGA
rnacentral:rRNA from 1 species